CCAAGCCACUUUAAAAGGGUCAUAUGCUAUGCACAUGACCCCUAAAAGGAUAUAUACUAUGUAUGCUUAGCCAUUAUCAAGAAAACUAGAUCAAAAAUUUCAAGAACCACCCCACAAAGGACUUCGGCCGAACCCAAAAAAAGAAAAGAAAAAGAAAUUCCCAAGUUCUAUUGUUGAUCCAAAAAUCCAAAGUUUUCACAUAUUUGUGAAGUACUCAAGGCCCUCUUCAACGGGGUAUAAUUAGUUUGGCGCAAGAACGACGUUUACGACAAGUCGGGUUUUCAAGAAAAGAUUUUUGACGAAACGGAACUGGACUUUCGGGAGAGCUUACGACGUCUGUGAGGUGCAGAUAUCGGUGAUCCUCCGCAGUAGGCUUCACUUCUUGCUAUUCCGGAGUACUCCUAUUUGAUCCGGAGUCCACUUUUGGUACAGACUCUUUUUGCUUUGUAUAUAUUCGGUAUAUUUGACUAUUUGGGUACGGCGGGGCCCUGUCUCGCCAUAUGUCUUUGUUUUGAGUUCGUAGAGGCCUGUAGUCAUAUAUGUGGGGCGAGGGUCCUAUGUAUGUUUGUCUGAUUCCGUUUUCUGGUCUUAAGGCGGUCUGUUUGUUAUGCUGGCCCCAAAUGGCCCUUAUGCUUAUAUUUGCACUUUUGACCGGCGAUGUCCAUUCCGCCGCUCAGUUUGUAUUUGAUAUGAUAUUUUGAUU